CUGGAAACCAUCCGACAGGGAAAUUCCAGCAAUUCUGCUGGUCCCUGAGAAGAGGCAAAGGCUGCAAACAGGAAAGAAGGUUUGCAUGGAAAACAAGGCUUCUUGGUGGAUGUUUUCAUAGCUUAUGUGAGAAUGAUCAAAUAGCAGAUCUCCGCUUACCUGCUUGGAGUUCCCUCCAUCAGCACAUCAAUGGCUUGCAGGGUGGGUGCAUCUUGAAGAUCUUUGUAACAGUAUCAUUGCACAUCAUCGUAUGUAAACCCACCUCAUUCUUUUAUAAGGAUAGCACAGUCU